GCCCGCAUGGCUCAGUGGUAGAGCGCAUCACUGGUAAUGAUGAGCUGGUUCUGAGACAUGCAGGCA